rnacentral:lncRNA from 1 species
UAUUAUUUUCCCACAUGUUUUACUGUAUUUUUACUGAUUAUAUUUUCAUGAUUAUUAUUCAAGGUUGCCAUAAGGAAUGGAGAAAAGGGGAGAAGAGAAUAACUCACACAAUUAUAGCAUCUUGGAAAUCCUGAGCAGGAGCCAGCCUGACGAAGGGGAAAGGCCUGUUUUUCCAGCUUCUAGUUUGAGAUUCGUUCCUCCCACAUUUUGACAUCUGCUGUCAAUCGUGUAAAGGAAACACCAAACUAUUUCUUGGGACCAAAUGUCGUAGGCUUCUUUGGUUCAGGUGAGUAAUUUACAAAAGUUCUAAUAAAAUUCAGAGUUUAUUUGAACUUGCA